UGGGAAGUGGUGUAAUGGUAACACAGAUGACUCUGGAUCAUCCGUUCCUGGUUCGAGUCCAGGCUUCCCAGCCA
rnacentral:tRNA from 1 species